AUCAGCGGUCUACCAGAUGAGAAUGCAUGAAUUUCCAAAGGAAACCCGAUAUAAAGAAUAGUUCAACUAGUCGGCUUGCAGUUUUUAUUCUAGAUUGUUUCUUAUUUUAUGUUUUUCAUUCUAUAAAAAAACAUAUUAAUGAUGCCAAAAUUAUUUUAAAAAGAUACCGUAGGAAACACCAAUCGAAGAAUAAAACACAAAUACCACAAGCAAACAUGCUUCGUUGACAUAAGGGCAUAAGCUAAAAGAAUUGUCACACUCCCUCAAAGCGGCAUCCUGUUACAGUAACACCUCCGUUAGCCACAAAAGGCUUUAGGGCAACACAAAGAGAUCACAUGAGGCUGCUUCUUAUAAAAUCAGGCAAGCAUAAAAUUGUAAUUCAGAUGAUGCUUGAUAUUUUUCUUGAUCAUGACUAACAGUGAUUACGCUGUUUGCGUGGGUGGUCCUUGUGGCCCUAGUGUCGAUUGCUCGAGCAAUUCAAAGUGCGUUUUUAAACUUUAAACUGAGUUUGAACUUCUUCUUGCUAGAGCUGCUACCGAUUUUUCAAACUACUUCAGUCACCUGGAGCAAGUCCGUAAUGAAAAAGAAACUCCGUCCCACCGGCGACCAGCAACAACGGCACAUUUACCCUAGGGACUCCCACG